GACGAACGCUGGCGGCGUGCCUAAUACAUGCAAGUCGAGCGGACCCUUCGGGUCAGCGGCGGACGGGUGAGUAACACGUGGGUAAUCUGCCCAACUGACUGGAAUAACGCCUGGAAACGGUGCUAAUGCCGGAUAGGCAACUGGUAGGCAUCUACCGGUUGGGAAAGGUGCAACUGCACCGCAGAUGGAGGAGCCCGCGGCGCAUUAGCUAGUUGGUGGGGUAACGGCCUACCAAGGCGACGAUGCGUAGCCGACCUGAGAGGGUGGACGGCCACACUGGGACUGAGACACGGCCCAGACUCCUACGGGAGGCAGCAGUAGGGAAUCUUCCGCAAUGGGCGCAAGCCUGACGGAGCAACGCCGCGUGAGCGAAGAAGGCCUUCGGGUUGUAAAGCUCAGUCAUUCGGGAAGAGCGGACAGGAGAGGGAAUGCUCCUGUCGAGACGGUACCGGAAGAGGAAGCCCCGGCUAACUACGUG
rnacentral:rRNA from 1 species